AACAGGCCCGCCGCAUGCACAAGGAUACACCUUAUGCAUAUGAAGCGUUAAUAAAACUUGUCCAACAAAAUUAACUAAAAUCUAACAACAGUAGGUAUUGGGGUAAAAUAAAAACUAUAUACUAUAGCAACACUGUAAAGAUAUACAAUAAUCACCACACCAGUCCUCAAAAUGAUAUAACAUCUCUGACUACCCCAAACCUCAAAAUAUUGUACAUUCUGCUAUAUAUACUGAUAUG
rnacentral:lncRNA from 1 species